CCGGAUGGCGACCGGCGCACGGGUGAGUAACACGUAUCCAACCUGCCGAUGACUCGGGGAUAGCCUUUCGAAAGAAAGAUUAAUACCCGAUGGCAUAGUUCUUCCGCAUGGUAGAACUAUUAAAGAAUUUCGGUCAUCGAUGGGGAUGCGUUCCAUUAGUUUGUUGGCGGGGUAACGGCCCACCAAGACUACGAUGGAUAGGGGUUCUGAGAGGAAGGUCCCCCACAUUGGAACUGAGACACGGUCCAA
rnacentral:rRNA from 1 species